rnacentral:lncRNA from 1 species
AACAUGUUAUGCUCAAGUUAUUUUCUUAUGCAAUAAAUAUUAUAGAAUUUGCCCAUAUCAUUACCACAUACUAGACAUAACUAUCAUUACAUCACAAACCAUUCAUGAAGCAUUAUUAACUAUUUACCAAUCACUUAAUCCUGCAUUAGUUACUAGCUCAUCAAUGAAUCUCAAUUCAAUCUCUAGGCAUACAUGUUGUAAGCCACAUCACAAGAGAUAAUAACAUACAUGCAUAAGAAUAAUCAUAUGGGCCCAUAACGUCAUUAGCCGACAUAGGCCAAUUUACAUGAUUAAUACUACCUUAAAAACAAGCCAAUGCCUUUGGCUAAAUCAUAAUAUUGCAUACUCACAUUAAAACCCUAUACAUGCCAUAGACUCGAAUCACUUGAGUUUACUUACUCCGAUAACGUUAACUCGAUAGGGUGAUAAUAUCUCUGAAGGCCUCCAACCCGAGCUAACCUGGAAACUCUAGAAAACAUGGGAAAUAAGGGGGUAAGCUUUCGCUUAGUAAGUUCAUAUGAAAACAAUAAGCAACUCAUUAACUUGUUUUAUCAAUGUUUACAACAUAUUCUCAAGUUCACUACAAGCUAUCUUCCUGAGCAACAGUCACUAAAUUAUUUAUAUCUGGAGCUACGAAACUCCAAAUUAAGUUCCGUUAAUUUUUCCUGAAACUAGACUCAUUUAUCUUUCUUUCAUAAAAUUUCCAGAAUUUUUGACUUAGCCAAUUAGUACAGUUUAUUCCUCAAGUUUGCUCCUGAUUCACUGUCUGACAGUUUCAACCCUUCUGCACUAAAGUUCAAUUAUCUCAUAGUACAGGAUUCGAAUAAUGUUCUCGUCUAUUUAUCUUGAAACUAGACUCGUAUUUCUACUUAAUAUUUUUUUUCUAGAAUUUUUUGGUCAAGCCAUUUAGUACAUUUUAUUAGUUAAAGUUUCCACUGUUUCAGGGUAUGACUACUCUGACCCCUAUGCACUACGAAUCGAAUUUCUCCAUGUACAGAAUUCCAAUGACCAUGCCAUUUGUUUCCCUUAAAAAUAGACUCAAUAAGGAAUCUAUGCAAGUAAGGUAUGACUCUUAAUAAUUUUUGUAAAAUUUACGGUGAAUUUAUAAAAUCAGAACAGGGGAUCUCAAAUUCAUUCAGACCCUGUUUCACAAGAAUUUAAAUAUCACACAAUAUAGAAUUCUUUUUCUUCCUCUAUUUCUUUCAUGUGAAAAUAGACUCAUUCAUGGUCAUUGUUCAUAAUAUUAAUACAACACCAUUUUAUCCAUCAUGGUAAGAACACAUAUUAUGCAUCAUAGAUCAUCAUAUAUCAAGGCAUUCUCAUAGGAUUAGUAUACAUACUUGCACAACUCGUAACAUAACUCGAGUGCAUACUCACCAAUGACUUACCUCAUUGGGACCAUCAUCAACUCUUUCCUUGGAUUGCCCGUUGAACACUUGGAAUACUAAUUGGAUACUCGGAAAAGCCUUUGCACAUAAGUGCCUCAAUUGUAGCUAAAGCUACCUCAUAUCUCAUGACAUUUCAAUGCUCACUCUCGAGCUAGUCAUCUAGACUCAUAAUUCCUAGUGACAUGUCACUCGUAUCCUAUUCUAUUCCUAAGGUUCAAACGGGAUUUUUCCUCGUCUAUUAAGGCUUUGUCUUAUCAUAUUUCUAUUAACCACAUACACAUUAAUAUCUGUACAAUUCAUGUAAUGAUAACAUUUAAAUACAUGUAUAGCAUGGUAUUGUUUACAUACGAACUUACCUCGAUACCACAAAGGUGAAAAGGACAUACUCGUCCAUAAAUUGAUUUCUUUCCGUUCUAGGUCCAAGUCUCAAUUUUCAUCAU